rnacentral:lncRNA from 1 species
ACACAUUAUUUUUGUUAGAGAAUCACUUUGAAAAUGGUAUAAAAACUGAUUAAAGAAGGACAAUAUUUGAUUAAAUGGUGAAAAGAGAAAAGAACUGAGAGAAAACUGCGUUGGAGGGCACUUGGUGCCAACAACUUAGGCAUUUGCCCCAAGAAGAAACAAUUGCAGAAUAACUAAAAUAGCCUGCUUUGCUUAAUUCUUGCAGAUAUAUGCACUUGACUAAACAAGCUAAGAAAGACAGGACGAGGGAAAAGAAAUGAAUCUGCAUUGUAGUCACUUGUUUUACACUGCCCCGUCCACUUACUUAUGUCCCUCUCCAGGGCUGGGACCAGAUUUCUGAACUUCAAUGCUUUGAAGAUUAUUGUAUCUGUGUCCAACACCCAAGCUUGGCCCUGAAACCUUCACAGCAUGAAGAAACAUCCCUUUAAAUCUACCCUUUUGAAUCUUUUUACUACCAUUGCUGUACUGCCACUUUGAAUCCCUCAAUAGUCCCCUUGCCUCUGCUCCAGGUUUCAUGGAACUCAACAGGAGAGAAAGAAGAAGCAAAAAUGAAAUGAUGGAUGAUUUUCGCAUCUUCAUAACCUCUGAAACUAUUGUUCCUAAGUCUGAAUCAUUUCCCAAAUAAGAAUGAUUGCCAGAUUCUCUAUUUAUAGUAUUUAAGAUGUUGUUGGCAUUUCAUACUGGUGGUGACCUUGUUUAUUUGACUAUAUACAUAGGGCAAUCCAGCACAAAUGUAAGAAUCAACCAUGUGUCGAUUUCAAUUUCUGGAUGUGCCGCCAUCGGCUUAGGUUCAAUGGCAGUGAACUAAUAAAUCAG